GCCCGAGUGGUGUAGUGGUAUCAUGUCCCACUCCUAACGGACCUAGUACUAGCCGCUGAUGGCAGGAGCGGCUCUGGCUUAGAUCUGGCAAGAUAGCUGGUUCAACUUCAGCCACGGGCA